rnacentral:rRNA from 1 species
CGGAGGGUGCAAGCGUUAUCCGGAUUCACUGGGUUUAAGGGGUGCGUAGGUGGGCAGGUAAGUCAGUGGUGAAAUCUCCGGGCUUAACCCGGAAACUGCCAUUGAUACUAUCUGUCUUGAAUACCCUGGAGGUGAGCGGAAUAUGUCAUGUAGCGGUGGAAUGCUUAGAUAUGACAUAGAACACCCAUUGCGAAGGCAGCUCACUACGGGAAUAUUGACACUGAGGCACGAAAGCGUGGGGAUCAAACAGGAUUAGAUACCCUGGUAGUCCACGCCCUAAACUAUGGAUACUCGACAUCAGCGAUAAACUGUUGGUGUCUGAGCGAAAGCAUUAAGUAUCCCACCUGGGAAGUACGAUCGCAAGAUUG